rnacentral:RNase_P_RNA from 2 species
GAAGCACGCCAGACCGUCGCUGGUGCCAUAUGGGAAACUUGGCACUGGAGGAACGUCCGGACUGCACAGGACAGCGUAGCAGCUAACGGCUGCCCACCGUGAGGUGAGGAUCAGAGCAACAGAGACGAGUCCGAGUGGGAGCCCGCUUCGGAGUGUUCUGUGAGGCGCCAGCGCAAGCUGGCGAGAAGGCAGCGCGAGCUGUCCGAACCCGGCGAAAGCCGGGUCCGCACAGCCACCCCGGGCGGACAAGUUCCGCUCGGGGUGAAACGGGCAAUCUCUACGCGCAGCAAUACCAAGUAGGCCAGCGUUGAUGUGGUUCCGCAGAGCUGGCGGGUAGGUAGCAUCGAGCCGGGUGGGCGACCCCCGGCCCAGAGUAAUGGCGGUCACACCCGGGCAACCGGGUGCACAGAAUCCGGCUUAUCGGCGCGCUUCACAC